GGUAGUGGGAGGGGGUGGGGAGAAGAGGGGAGUCACUGUGCUCCACCCUUUCUCUCUGAGAGAGAUCUCUGGAAGCAGGGUUGAAGGGAAUGGUCUGGAGAUCACCAUGGCGCCAAAGCCAAACUAAAUCCAACCCCAUCUCACCACAGGUUCCAGUACCCAGAGAGCAGACACGCUAGAGGUGUCAAUCCUAGUGAAGGGACAGGUGAUGAAGACUCAAGAGGCUGGUUUCAAGAUUCACCCUCAUCUCUCCUGUGAGGAGGCUUCUCCUUGAUUCAGAGGACCCAGCUGAAGACCACCAACCGCCCCCAGGCUGUCACCUUCACAAGUUAACCCUUGAACAUGGGUGUGAACUGCAUUUAUAAACAAUUUUUCACUAAAUAUGUACUCAGUGCAACAUGGCCCAUGUUUGAAUCAUGGGUGUGAAACUGAAUACAAAAAGCCAACAGGAUAGUCAUGUGCAGAUGUCUGACUAUAUGGGGGGUCAGUGCCCUAAAACCGCAUGUUGUUCAGUCAUCUGUAUAGCCUUUACCUAUCAGCCUUGGUCUUCCCUGGUGGCUUGGCAGUAAAGAAUCUGCCUGCAAUGCAGGAGACCUGAGUUUGAUCCCUGGCUCAGGAAAUGGCAAUCCACUCCAGUAUUCUUGCCUAGAGAAUUCCAUGGACAGGCUACAGUCCAUUAAGUCACAAGAAUCGGACACAACUGAGCGAUUAACACAUCACCCUUGUGAAGGCACCAGCUCAGGGCAGUCAGUGAACUUCACGGCUGUCAAAACCGCUUCUGGAGUUUGUGUUUCAAUUGCUGGUUUCUUGCUUCAACUGGGCCACAUCAAAGAAACCUUUCCAAACUGCCAUUUCAGCCUGUAAUCUCUCCCAUGUCCCAAUAAAACUGUAGAGAAAGGCACCAGGA